rnacentral:sRNA from 1 species
UAACAAAUUGUAUUUAAUAUCAUGUAAUAUAAUGAUAUGCUUACAAACCAACACAUGGUUUCAAUUUACGUUGAUAUCCCUGAGAUAUCCCUAAUCAAAAUAUAGAGUAACAUGCUUUAAUAUUGAACAUCAUGGGAUAUAGAUAUUAUGUUGGUCAAAGUGUUACUAUUUAGUCAUACAAAUACAUGCUUUCUACAUUCACAACAUGUGUACAGUGUAAAUAACACACGAACUUUAUUGUUGUGUAGGCCGCGUCGGAAUGGAAUUAGCAAUUCGGGAUGUGGUCUACGAAGGUGAUGAACUGUUUGUUGGCCGGGUAUUCAAAAAUAAACAGGAUUGCAAUGUCAAAUUAGCAGUUCACGCACUUAAUAGACGGUUCCAUUUCCGUCGUGAUCGUUCCUGCAAGAAACUAAUGACUUUAACCUGCAUUUCUGAAACAUGCCCUUGGCGUGUAUACAUCGUCAAGCUGGAGGAUUCUGACAAUUACCAAAUUCGAAGUGCUAAUCUCGAGCACACUUGCACUGUAGAAGAAAGGAGUAAUUACCACAGAGCAGCAACAACGCGGGUCAUAGGCAGCAUAAUUCAGUCUAAAUAUGCGGGCAACAGUCGGGGGCCAAGGGCUAUUGACCUUCAACGCAUCCUAUUGACCGAUUACUCAGUUAGAAUUUCCUAUUGGAAGGCAUGGAAAUCAAGAGAAAUUGCGAUGGAUAGUGCACAAGGAUCAGCUGCGAAUAGUUUCACUCUGUUGCCAGCCUACCUACAUGUGCUGCGCGAGGCUAAUCCAGGUUCAAUUGUUGAUCUAAAGACAGAGGUUGAUGGAAAGGGUAAUCACCGGUUUAAGUACAUGUUCUUAGCAUUCGCCGCAUCGAUUCAAGGUUUCUCUUGCAUGAAACGAGUCAUUGUUAUUGACGGUGCCCACCUGAAAGGCAAAUACGGUGGAUGCCUCCUAACCGCCAGCGGCCAAGACGCUAAUUUCCAGGUUUUUCCCAUAGCGUUUGGCGUGGUCGAUAGCGAAAACGAUGACGCAUGGGAAUGGUUUUUCCGUGUUUUGAGCACCGCUAUACCGGAUGGAGAUAACCUGACCUUCGUCUCAGACAGACAUUCCUCCAUUUAUACCGGUCUUCGAAGGGUAAUCCUUAAAAUUGAUAAUUUUAAAUGUUACAUGUUAUAUACAGCAUAUGGCUCUUAUUUAUUUUAGAACACAUGCUAUCUACCAAUAUGCCCUGCUAUAUACGUAUAACACAUGUUAACAUGCAGGUCUACCCAAAGGCUAAGCACGGGGCAUGUAUUGUUCAUCUGCAACGAAACAUAGCGACCUCAUAUAAGAAGAAACACUUGCUGUUCCACGUGUCAAGAGCUGCGAGGGCUUUCCGGAUCUGUGAAUUUCAUACAUAUUUCAAUGAGGUGAUAAGACUAGAUCCGGCUUGCGCACGAUACUUGGAAUCUGUUGGUUUUUGCCAUUGGACACGCGCUUAUUUCCUUGGGGAAAGAUACAACGUCAUGACUAGCAAUGUGGCGGAGUCUUUGAACGCAGUCUUGAAAGAAGCCCGUGAACUACCAAUCAUUUCCUUGUUAGAGUUCAUUCGGACCACAUUAAUUUCCUGGUUUGCUAUGAGGCGUGAGGCAGCUAGAACCGAAGCAUCGCCUCUACCACCAAAGAUGAGAGAAGUUGUUCAUCGUAACUUUGAAAAAUCAGUCCGAUUUGCGGUUCAUCGCCUUGACAGGUACGAUUACGAGAUAAGGGAGGAAGGCGCAAGUGUCUACCACGUGAAGCUUAUGGAACGCACAUGCUCCUGUAGAGCAUUUGAUUUGCUUCACUUGCCUUGCCCCCACGCAAUAGCGGCUGCAGUGGCUGAAGGCGUUCCAAUACAAGGACUGAUGGCGCCGGAAUAUUCUGUUGAAAGCUGGAGAAUGUCUUACCUAGGUACCAUAAAACCUGUACCCGAGGUUGGUGACGUUUUCGCUUUACCUGAACCAAUAGCCUCUCUCCGCCUCUUCCCGCCAGCCACGCGCCGUCCAUCGGGACGGCCGAAAAAGAAAAGAAUUACUUCAAGGGGGGAAUUCACGGUAAACGUUAUACAUUUGGAAUUUACUGUAACACCCUUAGUGUUUUAAAUUCCUAACAAUUGCUCAAUCUUCAUCUCAGUGUCCCCAGCGACAAGUAACACGUUGUUCUCGUUGCACAGGCGCCGGCCAUAAUCGCGCCACGUGCAAAAUGCCCAUAUAAAGGUACAAUGUUAUUUUAUACCGUAUCAUGCUAUAGAUAGAAACAACGUUCAUACAAUUUUUAUAAUAUCAUCUGCAGGGGGUGUUGUGUCUCGCGUCUUCUUCAUGAGUUAUAUGUUGUGUUAUAUAAGCAAGGGGAAGUCCAUCACAUAUGGAUAUUAUGUAAAAGGAAGGGUCACUUGGUAUAAUGUACAUAUUAGCAAUUAGAUGUGGCAAUUAGGGUGGCAACUAAAAGCUACGUUGAGAAUGCAAUCAAGGGACCCCAAUUCCAGUAAGUGCCGUAUAGAAGACCACCUUCUACGGACAAAGGAUAAUGUUCUGUUUUUUGGCUUUUGUGUAGAAAAAAACUUUAUGUUCCCCCUUUUGUAAACAGACUCAUGAUAUUAAGUAAAGACGCGAGUGUUUAAUUAUUAAUACGUGGUGUAAUGUAAAAUUCAGAUCCACAGACAAGGGGUUAAAUGAGGAAAUAUAUGAAACAAAUAUAACGAAUAGAUAUAGCACCAUUACUGGCAAAUUAAAGUCCAUAAAAAUGUUCAGCCAUCAUGAACUGACAUUUUAUGUCAAGGAUUCCAACAAGAUGAAAUCAUUCCAACCAUAAAUCAAAAUAAGAUGCUAUUCGAGAAAACCACAUGUGAUGUUUAGCAAUUGCGUGAGGUAAAACCGGGCACCGAGAGUUGAACAGUUCCACAUAGGAUUCCUUAUGCCACUUCGACUAUUUUCUCAGAACCCAAUAAGUGCUUCUGCACCACACAUUUCACCCCCCAACUACGCCACAUAAAUGAGUGAAUAUAUACACUAACAAUAUUGGACUAUAUAUACAUAUUGGCUAUCAACAUCUCCGUCAAUAAUAAAACGUCCUUCGGCCUACUUACACAUGCUUGCAAGGGUAGAAAUGAGACAGUAUCGUCAGAAUCCAGUACUCAUGCGGGUGGGUGGGCUGUUCAGAAAACAAUUUGACGACGCAUUGGAGGCAAAUAACCCGGAAGCACAUUAUCUUGAAGGGCUAAGGUAUGCUUGUUGGGAGAAAGAUUUAGUCAUGGCAAAAAAACACAUUUUUAAAGCUGUAAACAAGGUAGAUGAGGCGCUGUUUGUUAUGGCUAUGUUGUCUAUUUGUGGUGGUGAGAAGGAGCUAGGUGAAUUUUUCACUGAACAACUGUUUGCCCUACCUUGGGCCGAAGUAUUAGCUAUGGGUGAUUCUUUAUUUUCAGCUCUUGAACGAAUGGCUGUGCGCCAUGGUACAGCUUACAAGCUUACAUGGAAUGGGGCCCAUCCUCCAUGUGUAUCAAUCCACAACAUAUAUAAUAGAUGCGAAGAGUGCUACAUUUUCUUUUGUUCAAAAGAAUUCUGUCGGCGAUGUUAGAUGGUACAAGCUGCACCCAACGUGGAAAUCUCGUAACCAGAAGGGAAGCAUCCUUUAAAAUAAUAUGCUGUUAUUUUAUAUUAACCCGCGUAGCAUCUAUAAAUCACAUUCUGUUUGUAAAAAGUACAUGUUUUAUGUCUAAUGUGUUAGUCGUUAUGAUAAUGGUGUCAAAUAACGAUAUUACAUUAAAAUGGCGUGAUAUGUACCUAUAUUACAUGUUUUAUAUUGACUUUUUGAUCAUGUUAAUCUGUCUAAGGUGUAUAAUCCAAAAUAUUUUUAAACGGGUCAUUAUUAUUGCAAAGUUUACAACCGGGUAAGUCCUAAAUAUCAACUAAGCCACAGUUAGAAUGCAUCUAUAUUUAAACGAAUCAUGAGGUAAAUAUAAAACGCACGGUACAUAUUAGAAUUGCAGUGACAUAUGUUUACUACACAAAACAGGUGCAUAGAAAGAACAUUAGGUACUCAACUGUUAGGUGUCUAAUAUAUUACAGAGUCAGGUAAUAGAAGGUAAACACACUAGAACAUUUGGGUCAGACAAUCCCAUUAGCUAAUUCAAAACCGGCAAUGAAAUAUUUGUUAGCAGCAGUCACCACAUCAGCAUGCUUCACUUCUUUGCAAGCCUGAAUCCCACCAUUGGCAUGGGCUUCAAUUAAACGAGCUGCCAUGACUCCAGAAUAUUUUACAGAAUCUGCCUGUGGAAUAUCAUUUUCUCUGUGAACCGCAAGAGAUUUCAAACGAAGUUUCUUUUCCCCAGCCAUUUUAAUAGCAAAUCGAAAUAGAUAUGGUAACAUUUCAGCAAGGGGCAAAAGCACUUUCUUCAAUUUUGUUUCACGCCAUAAUCCUGUAUAGCAGUCGAGGACGCUAAUGAUCCUUGCACUCAUAUCAACACAAAGCCCUACCCAAUGCUGUAAAUCAAUGAGAAAUGGAAUGUAGACCACAGCAGAACCUGUAGGGGUACAUUCAAGUAGGUCGUGAUCAAACCCAUACAUUCCCUUAUCAGCAGACUUGACGAAUUUUGGGUAAUGCUUGGAUAAUUCAACCACAAAUGUUGAAUCAAUGAAUGAAACGGCUUGGUGCUUUUCAAUGAUAUUAUUUGCACACCAGUUAAUCCUUAUGCUAUUAAUGAAGAUGUCCAUAACCUGUAAAUAGAGUAGAACGCAUAUUAGGUGUUUAAGGCAAACCCUAUGUUUAUAGAGCACUAUGUAAUCUUUUUUACCCACAUGAUAUUUAUCAUACCAUUUUGGGUACAACGGUCUUGAACUCAACAAUCUCACGCAACUCAAUGGCGGAAAGUGUUCGACAAGCCCCAAAAUCAAUGUCCCUAAUAACAGCCAUAUGCAUAAGUUUUAAGUAAUAUGAGUCAAACAAAAUAAAAUAGCAUAAGGUUGGAAUUAAUACCCAGACAUGCCAUAUAAGCGAUUUAUCUUGUUCUUACGGCUAACAUCAUGCCCAAAAGUAACAGACCUACCGCUUGUGGAAGAGGCUAUUACGGAUUCAUGUUGGAGCUGUGAGCAACGUAAACGUGAUUAGAAAAUCAGAUGUUAUCUUAAUAAUCAGGAAAUUAGAGUUUGCAUAAUCCUAAACAUUCUGUGUUAAACUUAAUGGCAUGUAAUUUGUUCUAAAACCUUGAUGUUUGUACGGGCAAAACACUUACAAUAUGACAAAACUUUUUAAAUAUUUUUUUGUUAUAUUAGGUAAAACCCUGAACCAUGCUGAAAAUACAUGAUGUAUCGCAAAAUAUAACCGUGUGCAUAUUAAACCAGUGUUUUGUUUUUAAAAACCAUGAAUAAGUAAACUUGACCUACCACAAAACUACGAAAUCCAUAUUUAACAAUAUCUUAACCAUUCAUGCACCCAAACUAGACCUAACACAAAACUAUGAAAUCCAUAUUUAACACUAGCUAAACGCAUUUAUGCAACCUUGCCAUCAGGGUCCACAAUAUCAUUUGUUGGGGCUGGCAGGGACGGUUCAGAUAUCAUCGGCAUUUGGCUUAAAUUGGCCUAAAAUAAGAAACAGUUGCAUGUAAUUAGUUUGUUAGUGGUAACGAGAGUAAAAAAUAAUGAAUUAUAUGAUCUAACAUUAUCGGCUGUAGCAGGUGGGUCAGCAAGUCCUUCUCCAUCUUUAUCUGAAGCACCGUCAUCAACCAUUGGCCCGGGGGUUGACUUACAUUGGGCAGUCAAAUCAGACUCUAUCUGCAAGGCAAACAACAGACGUUAGAGCCAAUACACGGAAAAAAAAAAACAUAAAAACUAUAUGAGAAGGUUUGAACUCACUAUGCAUGGGAUGGUGUACUGCAACUCUGGCUGACCUACAUUGUAUGCAACACCAUCCAUGUCAACAAGCACCACAUAUGGAUCAGGGAGGCUGGGCUCAGAUUCAAAGAACUCAUUGACGUCUGUGGGAGGAGGAAGCAAACACUGAGUAUGACUCGCUGCAGCUGGAAUAGGUUUAUCAGGGCUAGUUUGGAUAUCAUCAAGGCCCUCUCCACCUAUCCCAUCACCGGGGGCAUCAACCAAGAUAUUAUCUUGAUGGGAUACAGUUUUAUCACCAGAAACAGACUUUUCCGCAAACAUAUCGUCUAAUUCUUUAGCCGGCAGAGUGGAAGAGCCAAUGUCAUGAAUCCCAUCUCUAGCUGACUCAUCCUCAGUGGUAUCAGUCACCACCCCUCCAACUUUGUUGAUAUUGACAGCUUCAGGGGAUACAUGUUUAUCAGCAGAAACAGACUUUUCAGCUGAACUGUUGUCUACUGCUGGCGUCAGGAUGGUGGCUGCUGUUGGGCCAUUGUUGCCUCUCUUCCGUUUCUGUUUGUUAUGAAAACAAUACUUGAAUUAGGAAGAACUCUCAUAAAAUACAGAAUAUUUACAAAACUGUUAAACGUAUACCAGAGAACUACGCAAUCCAGGCCUAGUCGGUGGGGAUAAGCGACCUAUGGGGGUUGUAGUCUGUGUAGGUUCUGCGUCGUUAAUAUCAUGCAUCACUUCACCUAAGACUUGAUCAAUAAAUCCAGAACCACUGUUCUCCUUCGACUGGGCUACCCUGCCAUUAUCCAAAACAACAAGGGAGGAUCCCUUCUUCCCACCUAAUCCCUCACCCACAUCUCUUGACUUAGGACCACUGUGACGCUUAUUCUUCCUGCCAUGGCUUUCCCUCAACAAGCUGCUCAAUCUAGCCUCUGAAUCAGCUAUAGCCUUCAACAUACGCGACUCCAUACGCUUGUCUUUCAUGUCAAUGUAAUUUUUAAUCGAAUCUGGUAUGUGAACCUGCCCUUUAGUUUUACGGGGUUUAGAAGAGCCAGGCAAGGAAGCAUCAGGUUGUAUGGUAUCCUCAUCAACACAAUCAUAAGUGCUACAUACAUCACUGUUGUCAUUCCUUUCAUCGGGUAGCGAAUCAGGGACAACACCACCUGAAAACAUGGACCCCUUGAAUAUGUGCUCCUCUUUUAUUAGUUGCAACAUGUAGUCAACAGAUAGAUCUUCUUCGUCCUCGACCCAACCUGACUUGAAAGCGUCACCAGUCGGUGUUCCACUCCAAAUAGAAACGACUUUAAUCUGAAAAACAAAGAGUUAGACUUUAGCCACAUGAUAUUAUGUUUUAUUACAUGUACUAAAAGUAUUUAUACUGUUACUAACAGUGAAAUAUAGAUUAUGUACCCAUGUGCUCCUUAAAAACAACAUGUUAUUUCAUCAUAUAACCAGAUGUUGUAAUGCAUACCGCCAUACGUGACUUACUAAGGUAACAGGGUAUGGUUAUUAAAAAGAACUGUGAUCAUAUUUAAAACCAUGCAGUUUUUGCAUAAAUCAUGAUAUAAAUAAUAAAUAGUAAAUCAGCACAUAUUAAAAAAAAACUUAACCACAUGCUACACAUUUACAGCCAUGUUAUGAUUAUUCUAAAGAAACUGUGAUCAGAUUUAAAACCAUACAAUUUAUACAGAAAUCAUGAUAUAAAUAACAAAUAGUAAAUCAACACAUAUUAAAAACCUAAGCCACAUGCUACACGUUUACACAGAAUGAUAUGAAUCUAUAAUUGUAUGUUUUUGAUAGGAAAAGAAGAGGUUUUCAUGAUAAAAACGAGCAUAUGAAAAUUAAUUUACGAGAGCAGAGAUGCAUUGCUCACCUGAGACUGCCGGUCGACUUUCCAAACAAGAUCCAACUUCAAACUCCAUAAGCGCUCAAUUUCCGUAUCUGUUUCCUCCAUUUCUGAGUCACUAUCUUCAACGGCUUCAGGGAAUUGCAAUUCUCUGAUUCGAGGAACACUUUGCAGUAGCAAAAGUUGGAGUGCGUGUGGGAAACCUUGAACGGUGAUAGAUUUCCGCAUAAGUUUAUCAGCUCCCCUUGCAGUAACACUCUUCAACGUCAUUAGGAAUGACAUAGUCCCCCAAGGAAAAUUUAGAAACAUGUCUAAAUUUUCUGCCAUGUCCGCAUGGACCGGAGAGAUUUUACUUCUACCCGAGGUUGGGCAUAAAACGCCAUCAAUCAAGGCCAGCACAGCGUAACGUAAACGAAUUCCUUGAUCUUGAACCACUCGCUUCUUCAGCCUGCCAACAACCCACUCAACAGAUACAUCACUGCGGUCAAAUAGGCUGUACCAAUACUUGCCAGGCGCCAAUUUUCGUUUCCCUUUCCUCUCUUUCAUACGAGGCGGUUUGUCGCAGUUCAAACCGGUAACAUUUUGAAACUCAGAAAUGGAAAACCGAACAGGGGAUCCAGAGAAAAUUACCCAAAUUUCUUGUUUCUUCCUAACAACAAGCUGCCUCGUUAGCAAAAAGUGAAUAAGCUUCCCAGAAUACGCGGCGCUUUCGGAGAAAUCAAAUAAUUUCCCAAACUGAGAUUCCCGGAGAAUUUUCAUGUCCUCCGCAUCUAACGCGUUAGCGAUGUCAUCUAUCAAAGACAGUUCACUGUAGGACUGCACUCUCUCACCGUUGGGCUCGGAUCCAGACCUAAACAAUCGACGGGGUAAAGAGUUGUUCAUCAUCUACAAGUCGAACCCUUUUCUGCACAAAAUAGAAGUUUAUAAAUCAGAAACAGUAUGUACCUAAGAUUUCAGUUAAUCGGAAUAUAGAUUGGAGAAAUAAAGAAGUUGAUGGCGAUCGAGAACGUUGAAUAGCUUAAACCGCAUAUAUUUGUGAAAUUACCUGUAGCCCGAUGGAAUUGAUUGCCUAACUGCGAGAUUGAAUCUAAAGAAACGAUAUGUAUGAGAAACAAUAUAGAUUUGAAAUAGAUAUUCGGAGAGUUUGCAGAAUCUAUGGGUAGAGAACGGAAGACGUUUCCUCUCGGAAAACCAGCAAAUGAAGCGGCGCUAGGUUUUUUUUUGGAGCUCCUGAUAUUUCAAAAAAUUCGAUAAUAAAUCGAUUUCUCGAAAUUAAAAUCUAUAUCGUUUGCGUCCACAUACAGCAUUGCUCUUACCAAGGUUUUCAAAAUUCAAAUUUCUGCAAUCAUACGCCUAUACACCUAUAUGUCCCCUAACCAAGAACACAGUUAUAGGGGGUUGCGGGUAAUUUCAGAUACGUCUCCGACAGACACUAUAGACUCAUAGUUAGUUUCUAUAUUAUUAUUGAUUUCAUGGUCAUCUAGUGCAUAUACCCUUUUUUUAAUCGGCUUUAUUAAGGUCCUGAAUGAAUGCUCAUUUUUUAUUUAGUUUUUGAAUUUAGAUUUUAGUUUAUAGAUUUUAGAUUUUAGUUUUAGAUUUUUGUUAUUAUAUUUUUGUUUAAAAAACUCCAAAAUUUUGGUUUUUGAUUUUUGAGAAAAAUAAUGUUGAUUGAGUAAAAACUAGAUUUUUUAAA